CCCUUAGAUGUUCUGGGCUGCACGCGCGCUACACUGAUGCGCUCAACGAGUUUACGACCUUGCCCGGAAGGGUUGGGUAAUCUUUUUAAAACGCAUCGUGAUGGGGAUAGAUUAUUGCAAUUAUUAAUCUUUAACGAGGAAUUCCUAGUAAGCGCGAGUCAUCAGCUCGUGCUGAUUACGUCCCUGCCCUUUGUACACACCGCCCGUCGCUCCUACCGAUUGGGUGUGCUGGUGAAAUGUUCGGAUCGGCCGUUUGUCGCGGUUUCCGCGUCAUGUGGCUGAGAAGUUCAUUAAACCCUCCCACCGAGAGGAAGGAGAAGUCGUAACA
rnacentral:rRNA from 1 species